UAGUGAGUUGGUAGCUUCACUAGUUCAUUUAUCAAGUAGCUUUUCAGUAGCAAAGCCACUAUAUUGAUAAUGGUUUCCCGAUAGCGUUGCAACUUAAGCUUCACGAUCAUCUUAACUCGCUCGUUAUUUUACGAUGAAGUAACGCCUGUUUCAUAACAAGCACGUAGGUCGCUUGUUAUAAAGUUGAACUUAAGUGCUUCGUUACGAGAGCUGUCCGGUUCAAAGGUGCUAAUAUGGAAGCAAAUCUGCCUCACCAGAUUUUGAAAUUUAUAAGCCAUUGAAUUUCUAGCACUGAAUUUUUCAGCAUUGAAACUAUGUAUGUUCAUUUUUUGCCUCUGAAUUAAACUCUUCAGAAUUUAAAUAACUCAUUUUCACUUUUAUUUUUCAGUGUUCACAAAUUCAGAAUCAAAAAUUCAAGUCUAAAAAUUCAAAUCAUUUAUAUUCGAGUUGCCCGAAUUCGAUAGGCCAAAUUCAGAUGCCAAAAUUCGGUGUUAAAAAUUUCAGAUGAAACAUCAGGGACACCAAGGAUAAGCAAUCGAAUCUGGAUGAAAUUGAACCAACAACAUCCAGUCAAGUUCCGCUCCAUUGUUCACGUGACGCCGAUGGUUGAAAUUUCAGGAAUCACAACAACCCCAAACGAUGGGGCUUCGGCGAGUGUAUUAACUGUUUUAUUUGUAAGAUUCAGUAACAGACAACUUGAUAUCUCAAAUCAAGAUAUGGGAGAACAGAGGCAGGGAGGUCACAGCAGUUCAGCCAGAAAGACCAUCAACUCAAAUGGAAAUAACCAGAUUAAGACUUAAAGCACAAGUUAAUUAUUUUAAACGCAAGCGGUCCUUUCCAGCAAUUUUUACCAAGGGCCGAGGAAAGAGGCGCUUGUUCCAGCCAAGAGACUUAAACCACUUGAAGUGGCUUUCUAAUUGUCGCCAAAGCAGUGUGAAAAAACUCCAAACGAGCAGGAGCAAAUAGUCCAUUUGCAGGCAGGGUUGGGCCGUAGGACUUCUUAUCUAGAUGAGAGCACAAAAUAUGAAGAGGCGGAUGGGGUAGCCGAAAACUCUCUCUUGUGGCUCCUGAUGAUACUGGCUGUACAGGCAGGAUCGUGAAGGCUGCAAGUCGUGGGGGUAAAAAUCUGUUCAUAGCCCCAAUUCAAGAAGAACUCAGCACAAAUCCCCUACAACCUAACUGAUGAAGCAUUUAGUAGCAUGCCAAAAGCCACAUGUCAGAAGUGUGGAGUAGCAGUUCCCCUGCAUCUCCUGACAGAACACAUCAUGUCUUGUGGUGUCAUUUAUGUUGGCAGUGACGAUAGCCUGGAUAGAGUUUCUCAACAGCAACUAUGCAGCAGUGUCCUGUCUGCACAGAAAUGUUUCCCACUGAUUUUGAGAUAAGAAGUCCUACGGCCCAACCCUGCCUGCAAAUGGACUAUUUGCUCCUGCUCGUUUGGAGUUUUUUCACACUGCUUUGGCGACAAUUAGAAAGCCACUUCAAGUGGUUUAAGUCUCUUGGCUGGAACAAGCGCCUCUUUCCUCGGCCCUUGGUAAAAAUUCCUGGAAAGGACCUAUAGAAAAUAAGUGUUAAAACAACUAUCACUACUAUCCCAUUAUCUGUUUUUUUUUUCGAAUUACAUUAAAAGACGACAGUGUUAAAAUAAGCGUUUUUGAACAUUCCUUGAAUGACACAGAUGAAAAUA